GGAGAGGUGGCAGAGCGGUCGAAUGCGGCGGUCUCGAAAACCGUUGUCCUACGUAAGAGGGACCGGGGGUUCGAAUCCCCCCCUCUCCG
rnacentral:tRNA from 1 species